rnacentral:rRNA from 1 species
UACGGAGGGUGCAAGCGUUGUUCGGAAUUACUGGGCGUAAAGCGCACGUAGGCGGCUUUGUAAGUUAGAGGUGAAAGCCUGGAGCUCAACUCCAGAAUUGCCUUUAAGACUGCAUCGCUUGAAUCCGGGAGAGGCGAGUGGAAUUCCGAGUGUAGAGGUGAAAUUCGUAGAUAUUCGGAAGAACGCCAGUGGCGAAGGCGGCUCACUGGACCGGUAUUGACGCUGAGGUGCGAAAGCGUGGGGAGCAAACAGG